rnacentral:rRNA from 1 species
UCUNCCGCAAUGGACGAAAGUCUGACGGAGCNACGCCGCGUGAGUGACGAAGGUUUUCGGAUCUUACAACUCUGUUGUUAGGGAAGAACAAGUACCGUUCGAAUAGGGCGGCACCUUGACGGUACCUAACCAGAAAGCCACGGCUAACUACGUUCCAGCAGCCGCGGUAAUACGUAGGUGGCAAGCGUUGUACGGAAUUAUUGGGCGUAAAGCGCGCGCAGGCGGUUACUUAAGUCUGAUGUGAAAGCCCCCGGCUCAACCGGGGAGGGUCAUUGGAAACUGGGGAACUUGAGUGCAGAAGAGGAGAGUGGAAUUCCACGUGUAGCGGUGAAAUGCGUAGAGAUGUGGAGGAACACCAGUGGCGAAGGCGACUCUCUGGUCUGUAACUGACGCUGAGGCGCGAAAGCGUGGGGAGCGAACAGG